GUGGGAGCGGGCUUGCUCGCGAAGGCGUCGGCACCUUCAGAAUAUCAAUGUCAGACACUCCGCUUUCGCGAGCAAGCCCGCUCCUAC
rnacentral:antisense_RNA from 1 species